rnacentral:rRNA from 1 species
UACGUAGGGGGCAAGCGUUAUCCGGAUUUACUGGGUGUAAAGGGAGCGUAGACGGCUGUGCAAGCCAGAUGUGAAAGCCCGGGGCUCAACCCCGGGACUGCAUUUGGAACUGUGUAGCUGGAGUGUCGGAGAGGCAGGCGGAAUUCCUAGUGUAGCGGUGAAAUGCGUAGAUAUUAGGAGGAACACCAGUGGCGAAGGCGGCCUGCUGGACGAUGACUGACGUUGAGGCUCGAAAGCGUGGGGAGCAAACAGG